UUCCCCAAUGAAGCAGGAAUAGAGCCAUUAAGAGCAUUCUCACCCAAAUCUAGGUAAGUAAGAGACCUUAGGUAACUUAUUUCUUCAGGAAUAGAGCCAGAAAGCUUAUUAUUGUAAAGAUCCAACCUAGACAAGUUGUUUAGAUUCCCCAAUGAAGCAGGAAUAGAGCCAUUAAGAGCAUUCUCACCCAAAUCUAGGUAAGUAAGAGACCUUAGGUAACCUAUUUCUUCAGGAAUAGAGCCAGAAAGCUUAUUAUUGUAAAGAUCCAACCUAGACAAGUUGUUUAGAUUCCCCAAUGAAGCAGGAAUAGAGCCAUUAAGAGCAUUCUCACCCAAAUCUAGGUAAGUAAGAGACCUUAGGUAACCUAUUUCUUCAGGAAUAGAGCCAGAAAGCUUAUUAUUGUAAAGAUCCAACCUAGACAAGUUGUUUAGAUUCCCCAAUGAAGCAGGAAUAGAGCCAUUAAGAGCAUUCUCACCCAAAUCUAGGUAAGUAAGAGACCUUAGGUAACCUAUUUCUUCAGGAAUAGAGCCAGAAAGCUGAUUAUUGUAAAGAUACAAAAAAGACAAGUUGUUCAGAUUCCCCAAUGAAGCAGGAAUGGAACCACUAAGAAAGUUGAUAUCCAAAGAUAGCUUAGUAAGAGACCUUAGGUAACCUAUUUCUUCAGGAAUAAAGCCAGAAAGCUGAUUUUCAUAAAGAAAUAAAAAAGACAAGUUGGUCAUAUUGCCCAAUGAAGCAGGAAUAGAACCACUAAGAAAGUUGAUACCCAAAGAUAGCUUAGUAAGAGACCUUAGGUAACCUAUUUCUUCAGGAAUAAAGCCAUUUAAAUGAUUGU
rnacentral:lncRNA from 1 species